UAGAUGGCGACCGGCGCACGGGUGAGUAACACGUAUCCAACCUGCCGAUAACUCGGGGAUAGCCUUUCGAGAGAAAGAUUAAUACCCGAUGGUAUAAUAAAGCCGCAUGGUUUAAUUAUUAAAGAAUUUCGGUUAUCGAUGGGGAUGCGUUCCAUUAGGCAGUUGGUGAGGUAACGGCUCACCAAACCUUCGAUGGAUAGGGGUUCUGAGAGGAAGGUCCCCCACAUUGGAACUGAGACACGGUCCAA
rnacentral:rRNA from 1 species